rnacentral:rRNA from 1 species
AGUUUGAUCCUGGCUCAGAUUGAACGCUGGCGGCAUGCCUUACACAUGCAAGUCGAACGGCAGCACGGGGGCAACCCUGGUGGCGAGUGGCGAACGGGUGAGUAAUACAUCGGAACGUGUCCUGUAGUGGGGGAUAGCCCGGCGAAAGCCGGAUUAAUACCGCAUACGCUCUACGGAGGAAAGGGGGGGAUCUUCGGACCUCUCGUUAUAGGGGCGGCCGAUGGCAGAUUAGCUAGUUGGUGGGGUAAAGGCCUACCAAGGCGACGAUCUGUAGCUGGUCUGAGAGGACGACCAGCCACACUGGGACUGAGACACGGCCCAGACUCCUACGGGAGGCAGCAGUGGGGAAUUUUGGACAAUGGGCGCAAGCCUGAUCCAGCAAUGCCGCGUGUGUGAAGAAGGCCUUCGGGUUGUAAAGCACUUUUGUCCGGAAAGAAAACCUCUGCCCUAAUACGGCGGGGGGAUGACGGUACCGGAAGAAUAAGCACCGGCUAACUACGUGCCAGCAGCCGCGGUAAUACGUAGGGUGCAAGCGUUAAUCGGAAUUACUGGGCGUAAAGCGUGCGCAGGCGGUCCGCUAAGACAGAUGUGAAAUCCCCGGGCUUAACCUGGGAACUGCAUUUGUGACUGGCGGGCUAGAGUAUGGCAGAGGGGGGUAGAAUUCCACGUGUAGCAGUGAAAUGCGUAGAGGUGUGGAGGAAUACCGAUGGCGAAGGCAGCCCCCUGGGCCAAUACUGACGCUCAUGCACGAAAGCGUGGGGAGCAAACAGGAUUAGAUACCCUGGUAGUCCACGCCCUAAACGAUGUCAACUGGUUGUCGGGUCUUCAUUGACUUGGUAACGUAGCUAACGCGUGAAGUUGACCGCCUGGGGAGUACGGUCGCAAGAUUAAAACUCAAAGGAAUUGACGG